CCAAGGUCGUAGUCUUACUAGAGUUGUAGGCUUUGCCUGCUAUCUCUUACCCAUGUCUUUUGAGUACCUUACGUUUCCUCGGCGGGUCCGCCCGCCGAUUGGACAAUUUAAACCAUUUGCAGUUGCAAUCAGCGUCUGAAAAAACUUAAUAGUUACAACUUUCAACAACGGAUCUCUUGGUUCUGGCAUCGAUGAAGAACGCAGCGAAAUGCGAUAAGUAGUGUGAAUUGCAGAAUUCAGUGAAUCAUCGAAUCUUUGAACGCACAUUGCGCCCCUUGGUAUUCCAUGGGGCAUGCCUGUUCGAGCGUCAUUUGUACCUUCAAGCUCUGCUUGGUGUUGGGUGUUUGUCUCGCCUCUGCGUGUAGACUCGCCUCAAAACAAUUGGCAGCCGGCGUAUUGAUUUCGGAGCGCAGUACAUCUCGCGCUUUGCACUCAUAACGACGACGUCCAAAAGUACAUUUUUACACUCUUGACCUCGGAUCAGGUAGGGAUACCCGCUGAACUUAAGCAUAUCAAUAAGCGGAGGAAA
rnacentral:rRNA from 1 species